rnacentral:rRNA from 1 species
GGCUGAAGACCGGAAACGAAGUGAUCUAUCCAUGAGCAAGUUGAAGCUAGUGUAAGAACUAGUGGAGGACUGAACCCAUAGGCGUUGAAAAGCCCCGGGAUGACUUGUGGAUAGGGGUGAAAGGCCAAUCAAACUUCGUGAUAGCUGGUUCUCUCCGAAAUAUAUUUAGGUAUAGCGUUGUGUCGUAAUAUAAGGGGGUAGAGCACUGAAUGGGCUAGGGCAUACACCAAUGUACCAAACCCUAUCAAACUCCGAAUACCUUAUAUGUAAUCACAGCAGUCAGGCGGCGAGUGAUAAAAUCCGUCGUCAAGAGGGAAACAACCCAGACUACCAGCUAAGGUACCUAAAUCUUACUUAAGUGGAAAACGAUGUGAAGUUACUUAAACAACCAGCAGGUUGGCUUAGAAG